AAGCGACUGAUCCCAUCUAUGU
rnacentral:miRNA from 1 species